rnacentral:miRNA from 1 species
UCUGACCCGCAAUGGCACCAGU